rnacentral:rRNA from 1 species
ACCGGCUACGGACCCUUUAGACCCAAUAAUAACGGUCACCACUCGGGCCGCCGGUGUUACCGCGGCGGCUGGCACCGGUCUUGCCCGGCCCUUGCUAACAGAUGUAGUUUACACAUCUGGACAGCCAGCAUAUGAUGCUGGCACUCGGUGUUCCCUUAUCACGGUUUCCCGCAUUGUAAAGUUUUCGCGCCUGCUGCGCCCCGUAGGGCCUGGAUUCAUGUCUCAGAAUCCAUCUCCGGGCUCUUGCUCUCACAACCCGUACCCGUUGUUGGCUAGUAGGUACAUUACACCCACUACUACCUGAUAGGCCGCAGACCCAUCCUUGGGCGGACGAAUCCGUUUUACGCAUAAAGCAUUCCAGCACAUAUGCGUUAUCCAGUAUUAUCCCCAGUUUCCCGGGGUUGAUCCCUGACCCAAGGGCAGGUUACUGCUAUCGAUGUUACUGAGCAGUAUGCCAUGUUCACGAGUCGAAUGUAUGCACUUGCAUGGCUUACUGCUCAGUAACACCAGUAGGAGUAACCUGCCCUUAGGUUGGGUAUCAACCCGGGAAACUGGGUAUAAUCCCCUAUAAGUCUCGGCUGCUGGAAUGCACCGAGAUUAAAAGCUCCGGCGCCUAAGGAUGGGUCUGCGGCCUAUCAGGUAGUAGUGGGUGUAGCGUACCUACUAGCCUACGACGGGUACGGGUUGUGAGAGCAAGAGCCCGGAGAUGGAUUCUGAGACACGAAUCCAGGCCCUACGGGGUGCAGCAGGCGCGAAAACUUUACAAUGCUGGCAACAGCGAUAAGGGAACCUCGAGUGCCAGGUUACAAAUCUGGCUGUCGAGAUGCCUAAAAAGCAUUUCAUAGCAAGGGCCGGGCAAGACCGGUGCCAGCCGCCGCGGUAACACCGGCGGCUCGAGUGGUAACCGUUAUUAUUGGGUCUAAAGGGUCUGUAGCCGGCCGGAUAAGUCUCUUGAGAAAUCUGGCAGCUUAACUGUCAGGCUUUCAGGAGAUACUGUCUGGCUCGAGGCCGGGAGAGGUGAGAGGUACUUCAGGGGUAGGGGGUGAAAAU